UAGAAAUCUAACUUAGGUUAAAUGUAUCAAAGGUGAAAAUUAAAAUAUUCUGGUUAAGGCGGAUGAAAUCAAAGAAAGAUGGAGUUAUUUUGAUAAGUUAUUCAAUGAAAGUUACAUAAAUGAUUUAAAAUGCCAUAUUAGUGCCAUUGAGGCUAGGCAUGUUAAAUAUACAUGCAGAAUUAGCUUAUCUGAGGCCAAAAAAAAAAGCUAUGAAUAAGGUGAAAAAAGGAAAAGCGGUUGGAUCUGAUAGAAU
rnacentral:lncRNA from 1 species